UGCAUACAAGGAUACAUUA
rnacentral:rRNA from 1 species